rnacentral:lncRNA from 1 species
UCAGAAUGUACCCUGACAUUCUGGAGCAUCAGCUGUAACUCAUCAUUCUUAUGAAUCUGUCAUCACUUUUCUCAAAGGAAUUUCCACUUCUGUGAUGUUACUUUUUCCAUUAUGCCUUAUUUCCACCAAAAUAGCAUCCUGGAAAGUGGUCACAGAGUCAGUUUUCUGGGAUAGCAAUUUCUGUAUAGAAAGGACUUCCUCCAAACCAAAAAGUUUAUCCACAUUUAAAAAGAUCAAGAAUGUGAUGGAACAUUUAUUUUUAGCUUUUGUAUUUAUUAUUACCAGGAUAUGAAGAUGACUUCUGCUAACUACAUCCAUUCAAAAUCUAUUUAAAUAACCAAGUAAUUUAAAAUACAGAGUGAAUCUGUCUGUGUGGGUGUAUGUAUAGAGAGGGAGAAAAUGCACAGCACCCACAGAAAUACAAAUACAGAGGAGCUGGAAAAAUUAAAAGAAGAUUAUGAUUAUCAAGAAGUUGCAAAUAAUUUGAAAUUCUAGCAUUUUCCUCUUGGAAUUAAGUUCUGAGAGGAGAUGCUGCAUAUGUUAAAUUUAUAAAUCUAUGUAAGUU